AGUGGGCUGGAAUCCAUGGCAUAAGGGAGAAUGACCGAAUGACAUGGCUAAGCAGCAAGAAUUGAACCCUUUGUGCCUGAACUGUUUCUUCUUUUUGAUAAUACUUUUCGUGUCCCUAUUGUGAAGCCAUCUGUCACGCUCCACUUCCCACUUGAGCUGUUUGACACCUGUAAGAGCAAAGAAGGAAGAUGAGAAAUAAGGAACUGAUUAAUAGCUUGGACAAUUACAGUAAAGUGUCCAUCCUCUGACUAUUGUAUAGAAUGUGGAUAAAUCAUGUGAAAGUUAAUUUCGCUACUGUAUUUAUAAAAGCCAAUAAAAUUUAAGGUGUUUUUUCCUCCUU